UUCAUUUUUUCUAUUUUCAUUUUAGUUUCUUUUACCUAUCUCUUUGCUUAUAAUUUUAUUUAGGAACGAUUUUCAACAUUAUUUUAGACACACUGGGCUGUUUACGGGCUCACACCACGAUCAACAGGGUUUUGUAUUUUAUUUCGUUCUCGUUUCACUCAUUUUAAUCUCUUCUGCUUUUGGCCACAUAUUUCUGCCCUUUUUUUGUUUCCAGAAAAACGUUUUUUAUCGGACCUUCCUCACUUAUUUACUGCGUCGUUUUCAUGGACAUUUUUGUUUAAAGAACUGUAUUUAAAGAUUGAUGAACUCCGCUGUUCAGGACUGUGACACGGCAGGCGUUUGUACUUCAUCUGUAUAAUACCUUACUAAGUCUCAUACUCACUUCUACUAACAAAACAACAACAAUAAUAAUUAUGAUGAUAACAGAUGCAAUACAAUACAAAUACAAUUAUCCCGUGAAUACUUAAUCAUUACGAAACAGCAAAGUGUUAAUAAGUUAUUUUAUUACUAGCACAUCCCACUUCAUGGGUUUAACAAUGCGAAACUGCUCUUGUAUAGUGUUUAAAAACCUCUGAGAGCUCAGGAACAGACACGUUAUAAAAAUAUGUCUGAAAUUAGUCUAACUUUGAAGUUGAAAAGACGUCUAAAACGACCACAUUUAGACUUAAAACAGGCCACACACGAAGGUCUUACCGAAGACGACAGUAGAUGUUCAGCAAACGUUGCCUGGCGUUACGAAACAACCCCAACCCCCAAGCAAAAAUAAUCUUUAUUAUAAUAAUUACCUUGGGUAGCUCCAAAGAUGGCGUAGAGUAGAGUCCACAGGUGUCUCAUUGUUCGUUUCCAAGAGAUAGAGCGGGGCCUGCCGGUUGUACAAAGUGAGGAGCAUUUUCUCCGGACGUACUCUUUAUUCACCCACAGAGCCGCAGACGACUGCGGGACCUGGCUGUAGUCGUCGACGGCCCUGUUGUGGCUUCAGCUCUCGCCGGUGAUUCGAGAAUCUUCCAGAGACCGACGACUGAACCUGAACGAAUCCCUUUGGUUCAGUCUCAGCUGCUCUUUUCACACCUUUUUACACAUAUUUUCUCCUGAUCGUUUGUGAGCCUCUUAAACACAUUUAUUUUAUUUUUACAUGUAUUUUGUUAAACAUUUCACUUUUGAAACUGGUUUUCAUUGUAUUUUCCUUUAAGGUUUUUUUUGGAGACAUGCUGUUAGGUUCAUGCUUGCUUUAUGUCUGGGGCUCAUGUAGGAGAAAAGCUUGCACUUCAUGAUAUUCCCUGUAACAGACUGGUGACCUGUCCAGGGUCUGGGAUAUGUUGAACUGUUAAGCACUGUGGCACCUUCUGGUAGGCUACUUUCUGGCAACCUGAGUCACCUGGUUGAACUGCAUUCCAUCAUCUCUGACACCCACUCAGAGAUGAUGAAUGCUUCCGUGUAUCUAUUAAAAUUUUCCAUUAGUACACGUGUCAUUCUCACAACUGCUCCUAACCCAACUGCCCAAUUCUCUGGGUUAAUUUAAAUACCUAAAGAGCAGAAGAAAUGUUAGACUCAAAAUCAGUCAGAGCUGAAGAGCCUGUUUUAUUCAGGAAUCUGUAGUCAAGCUCGAGAGUCUCAGUUCAGCACUGUAACACAGCAGGCGUUUGCACUUCUUUUGUAUAAUACCUUAUAAGUAAAUGGUAAAUGGCCUGUAUUUGUAUAGCGCUUUACUAGUCACUAAGGACCCCAAAGCGCUUUACAUAUCCAGUCAUCCACCCAUUCACACACACAUUCACACACUGG
ensembl:lncRNA